rnacentral:rRNA from 1 species
UACAGAGGGGGCGAGCGUUGUUCGGAAUUACUGGGCGUAAAGCGCGCGUAGGCGGCCUGUUAAGUCGGACGUGAAAUCCCCGGGCUCAACCCGGGAACUGCGUCCGAUACUGGCAGGCUUGAAUCCGGUAGAGGGAUGCGGAAUUCCUGGUGUAGCGGUGAAAUGCGCAGAUAUCAGGAGGAACACCGGUGGCGAAGGCGGUUCUCUGGGCAUGACCUGACGCUGAGGAGCGAAAGUGUGGAGAGCGAACAGG